AGCCCAUGACCUCUGAUGUCGCGCGGGCUUCAGUGGUCAUGCUCUCGCAGGGCUGAGAACAAAACAACCACUCAUCCUCUCUUGGGUAUCAGCUCUGACGGCCAGCUCACCUGCGGUCUGUUGCGUCUGCACACCAUCAACCUGAGGUAGGGGCCCAAGUGUCCCUUCAUCAUUAAAGGCCAAAAUUGGUUUCAAAGGAAUUUCUGGGUUCUCGCUGGUGACAUCUAAUCUGGACGCUUUUGAUCCAACAGUGCCGUCUGCUGCCAGGCGUGUGCCUGUAGCCUAGUGGGUGUUCCCUAUGGUCGGCUGACUGAGGAUGAGAAGGGUAGGGCCUGGUUUACUAAUGGCUCUGCACAUUAUGUAGGCACCACCCAGAAGUAGACAGCUGUAGCCUUAUAGGGGACAACUCUGGAAGACACUGGUGAAGGGACAUCCUCACUGUGGGAGGAACUUCGGGCCGGAUGUUGCCAGGAGACGAGGAGUGGGCCUGAGUGGAAGCAGCUCUGACUGAGCCGGGAGGCAAGGAGGAUGCGGGCCGGGGAGUACCAGGCAAGUGAGGCAUGGACUUGGAUGGGAGCCUGGGCCGCAGAAGACAAGGACAAUGAGUAGGUCAGAAUCACCUUACCAGAGCCCCGAGCACCCAAACAUGUAAAACCGAACAGAUGUUCGGACAGGAGGAUUUUUCUGUUUGUGAUAAAUGUGCAAAAGGAGCGGCUAGUGAGACCCAGCUCAACGAUCUUUUCUCCUUCUGCUAAAAGACAGCCUGCGGUCCCCAAAGUCAAAGGCAAGCAGUGAGGAAAGAAGCUAAUUCUCCAAGGUGGGCCUUCCCAUGCACCUCCGCCACACUCACCAAAGGCGGGCUGGAGCCGGCGACCUCAUUUUGAGAUUAGAUGGAGACAGAGUCCUACGGGAGCCCGGGGAAACGUGGAAGGGAAUGUGUUCUCUUUCUCGCUCUCUUUUAUGGCUCUGGGUUCAGAGAAACUCAGUAUUAGAAAUUUCAUAUUAACGAUAUCCAACGACAAACUGCAGACCAUCUAGUGUUCUUAAGGAUUAAAAACACAACUUCUUAACUACGUCAUAGAUCCACUCCACUGCAGGACAGGGCGCCUGUCUGCUAACAACCGAACAGUACAUAACUGAGCCAACACCGAUGACAGGAGAAAGUAGGUCUGAGGGAUGGUUUGAUUUGUCAAAAAGGGUUUGAAGGGAGUAAAGCAAAGGGGGAAAUGAUGUAAUUAUAAUCUCACAUAAAAAAAA